rnacentral:rRNA from 1 species
GUUGUUGGGUAGGGGAGCGUUCUGUAAGCCUGUGAAGGUGGCCUGUGAGGGUUGCUGGAGGUAUCAGAAGUGCGAAUGCUGACAUAAGUAACGAUAAAGCGGGUGAAAAGCCCGCUCGCCGGAAGACCAAGGGUUCCUGUCCAACGUUAAUCGGGGCAGGGUGAGUCGACCCCUAAGGCGAGGCCGAAAGGCGUAGUCGAUGGGAAACAGGUUAAUAUUCCUGUACUUGGUGUUACUGCGAAGGGGGGACGGAGAAGGCUAUGUUGGCCGGGCGACGGUUGUCCCGGUUUAAGCGUGUAGGCUGGUUUUCCAGGCAAAUCCGGAAAACCAAGGCUGAGGCGUGAUGACGAGGCACUACGGUGCUGAAGCGACAAAUGCCCUGCUUCCAGGAAAAGCCUCUAAGCAUCAGGUAACAUCAAAUCGUACCCCAAACCGACACAGGUGGUCAGGUAGAGAAUACCAAGGCGCUUGAGAGAACUCGGGUGAAGGAACUAGGCAAAAUGGUGCCGUAACUUCGGGAGAAGGCACGCUGAUAUGUAGGUGAAGCGACUUGCUCGUGGAGCUGAAAUCAGUCGAAGAUACCAGCUGGCUGCAACUGUUUAUUAAAAACACAGCACUGUGCAAACACGAAAGUGGACGUAUACGGUGUGACGCCUGCCCGGUGCCGGAAGGUUAAUUGAUGGGGUUAGCGGUAACGCGAAGCUCUUGAUCGAAGCCCCGGUAAACGGCGGCCGUAACUAUAACGGUCCUAAGGUAGCGAAAUUCCUUGUCGGGUAAGUUCCGACCUGCACGAAUGGCGUAAUGAUGGCCAGGCUGUCUCCACCCGAGACUCAGUGAAAUUGAACUCGCUGUGAAGAUGCAGUGUACCCGCGGCAAGACGGAAAGACCCCGUGAACCUUUACUAUAGCUUGACACUGAACAUUGAGCCUUGAUGUGUAGGAUAGGUGGGAGGCUUUGAAGUGUGGACGCCAGUCUGCAUGGAGCCGACCUUGAAAUACCACCCUUUAAUGUUUGAUGUUCUAACGUGGGCCCCUAAUCGGGGUUGCGGACAGUGUCUGGUGGGUAGUUUGACUGGGGCGGUCUCCUCCUAAAGAGUAACGGAGGAGCACGAAGGUUGGCUAAUCCUGGUCGGACAUCAGGAGGUUAGUGCAAUGGCAUAAGCCAGCUUGACUGCGAGCGUGACGGCGCGAGCAGGUGCGAAAGCAGGUCAUAGUGAUCCGGUGGUUCUGAAUGGAAGGGCCAUCGCUCAACGGAUAAAAGGUACUCCGGGGAUAACAGGCUGAUACCGCCCAAGAGUUCAUAUCGACGGCGGUGUUUGGCACCUCGAUGUCGGCUCAUCACAUCCUGGGGCUGAAGUAGGUCCCAAGGGUAUGGCUGUUCGCCAUUUAAAGUGGUACGCGAGCUGGGUUUAGAACGUCGUGAGACAGUUCGGUCCCUAUCUGCCGUGGGCGCUGGAGAACUGAGGGGGGCUGCUCCUAGUACGAGAGGACCGGAGUGGACGCAUCACUGGUGUUCGGGUUGUCAUGCCAAUGGCACUGCCCGGUAGCUAAAUGCGGAAGAGAUAAGUGCUGAAAGCAUCUAAGCACGAAACUUGCCCCGAGAUGAGUUCUCCCUGA